rnacentral:rRNA from 1 species
AUUGAACGCUGGCGGCAGGCCUAACACAUGCAAGUCGAGCGGAUGAAGGGAGCUUGCUCCUGGAUUCAGCGGCGGACGGGUGAGUAAUGCCUAGGAAUCUGCCUGGUAGUGGGGGAUAACGUCCGGAAACGGGCGCUAAUACCGCAUACGUCCUGAGGGAGAAAGUGGGGGAUCUUCGGACCUCACGCUAUCAGAUGAGCCUAGGUCGGAUUAGCUAGUUGGUGGGGUAAAGGCCUACCCAGGCGACGAUCCGUAACUGGUCUGAGAGGAUGAUCAGUCACACUGGAACUGAGACACGGCCCAGACUCCUACGGGAGGCAGCAGUGGGGAAUAUUGGACAAUGGGCGAAAGCCUGAUCCAGCCAUGCCGCGUGUGUGAAGAAGGUCUUCGGAUUGUAAAGCACUUUAAGUUGGGAGGAAGGGCAGUAAGUUAAUACCUUGCUGUUUUGACGUUACCAACAGAAUAAGCACCGGCUAACUUCGUG